GACGAACGCUGGCGGCGUGCUUAACACAUGCAAGUCGAACGGUAAGGCCCUUCGGGGUACACGAGUGGCGAACGGGUGAGUAACACGUGGGUGAUCUGCCCUGCACUUCGGGAUAAGCCUGGGAAACUGGGUCUAAUACCGGAUAGGACUCCGGACUGCAUGGUCUGGGGUGGAAAGCUUUUGCGGUGUGGGAUGGGCCCGCGGCCUAUCAGGUUGUUGGUGGGGUGAUGGCCUACCAAGGCGACGACGGGUAGCCGGCCUGAGAGGGUGACCGGCCACACUGGGACUGAGAUACGGCCCAGACUCCUACGGGAGGCAGAAGUGGGGAAUAUUGCACAAUGGGCGCAAGCCUGAUGCAGCGACGCCGCGUGAGGGAUGACGGCCUUCGGGUUGUAAACCUCUUUCAGCAUCGACGAAGCGAAAGUGACGGUAGGUGCAGAAGAAGGACCGGCCAACUACGUGCCAGCAGCCGCGGUAA
rnacentral:rRNA from 1 species